rnacentral:rRNA from 1 species
UGCUGAUGCAUUGCUUCAGGUAGUAACAGAGGGUUCGAUUAUGGCUCAGAUUGAACGCUGGCGGAUGCUUUACACAUGCAAGUCGAACGGCAGCACGGACUUCGGUCUCAGUGCGAGUGAAGAACGGUGAGUAAUGUAUCGGAACGUGCCUAGUAGCGGGGACAACUACGCGAAAGCGUAGCUAAUACCGCAUACGCCCUUCGGGGGAAAGCGGGGACCUUCGGGCCUCGCACUAUUAGAGCGGCCGAGACGAUUAGCGAAGUUGGUGGGGUAACGGCUCACCAAGGCGACGAUCCGUAGCUGGUUUGAGGACGACCAGCCACACUGAGACUGAGACAUGGCCCAGACUCCUACGGGAGGCAGCAGUGGGGAAUUUUGGACAAUGGGGGAAACCCUGAUCCAGCCAUCCGCGUGUGCGAUGAAGGCCUUCGGGUUGUAAAGCACUUUUGGCAGGAAGGAAACGGCACGGAUAAUACCCCGUGCAACUGAUUUACCUGCAGAAUAAGCACCGGCUAACUACCAGCCAGCAGCCGCGGUAAUACGUAGGGUGCAAGCGUUAAUCGGAAUUAUUGGGCGGCAUAUGCAGGCGUCUGGAAAGAAAGAUAUGUGAAAUCCCAGAGCUUAACGAACUCAGUAUUUUAAUGAGCUAGAGUGUGUCAGAGGGAGGUGGAAUUCAUGUGCAGGAAUGCGUAGAUAUGUGAGGAAUGACGGCGUACAGCCUCCUGGGAUAACAUCGAUGUCAUGCACGAAAGCGUGGGGAGCAAACAGGAUUAGAUACCCUGGUAGUCCACGCCCUAAACGAUGUCAACUAGCUGUUGGGGCCUUCGGGCCUUGGUAGCGCAGCUAACGCGAAGUUGACCGCCUGGGGAGUACGGUCGCAAGAUUAAACUCAGAAGAAUUGACGGGACCAGCACGCGUGGAUGAUGUGGAUUAUCCGAUGCAACGCGAAAACUUACCUACCCUGACAUGUCUGGAAUCCCGAAGAGAUUUGGGAGUGCUCGCAAGAGAACCGAACACAGGUGCUGCACAUUGCCGCCGUCAGCUCUUGUGGUCGCAGAUGUUGGGUUAAGUCCCGCAAUCGAGCGGCAACCCUUGUCAUUAGUUGCUACGAAAGGGUACCUUAAUGAGUCUGCUGGUGACAAACCGGGAGAAGGUGGGGAUGAUGUCAAGUCCCUCAUGGCCCUUAUGGGUAGGGUCACACGGGUCAUACAACAAUGGGACAGAGGGUCGCCAACCCGCGAGGGGGAGCUAAUCCCAGAAACCCGAUCGUAGUCCGGAUCGCAGUCUGCAACUCGACCUGCGGAAGCCGGAAUCGCCAGUAAUCGCGGAUCAGCAUGUCGCGGUGAAUACGUUCCCGGUCUUGUACACACCGCCUGUCACACCAUGGGGAGUGGGUUUUACCAGAAGUAGUUAGCCUAACCGUAAGGAGGGCGAUUACCACGGUAGGAUUCAUGAUCAGGUGAAGUCGUACAAGGUAA